rnacentral:tRNA from 1 species
CUCAUGAUAGCUCAAUUGGGUAGAGCGGAGGACUGUAGUCUGAAUUUAAAUGUCUGUGAUCCUUUGGUUAGUGGUUUAUAUCCAUCUCAUGAAA